GUAACGGAGGAGCACGAAGGUUAGCUAAUCCUGGUCGGACAUCAGGAGGUUAGUGCAAUGGCAUAAGCUAGCUUGACUGCGAGCGUGACGGCGCGAGCAGGUGCGAAAGCAGGUCAUAGUGAUCCGGUGGUUCUGAAUGGAAGGGCCAUCGCUCAACGGAUAAAAGGUACUCCGGGGAUAACAGGCUGAUACCGCCCAAGAGUUCAUAUCGACGGCGGUGUUUGGCACCUCGAUGUCGGCUCAUCACAUCCUGGGGCUGAAGUAGGUCCCAAGGGUAUGGCUGUUCGCCAUUUAAAGUGGUACGCGAGCUGGGUUUAGAACGUCGUGAGACAGUUCGGUCCCUAUCUGCCGUGGGCGCUGGAGAAUUGAGGGGGGCUGCUCCUAGUACGAGAGGACCGGAGUGGACGCAUCACUGGUGUUCGGGUUGUCAUGCCAAUGGCACUGCCCGGUAGCUAAAUGCGGAAGAGAUAAGUGCUGAAAGCAUCUAAGCACGAAACUUGCCCCGAGAUGAGUUCUCCCUGAGACUUUAAGUCUCCUGAAGGAACGUUAAAGACGAUGACGUUGAUAGGCCGGGUGUGUAAGCGCAGCGAUGCGUUGAGCUAACCGGUACUAAUGAACCGUGAGGCUUAACCUUACAACGCCGAAG
rnacentral:rRNA from 1 species